rnacentral:rRNA from 1 species
GAGUAUUAAUAGUUAUGAUCUUUAAACUUAAAAAAUUUGGCGGUAUUAUAAUCUAUUUAGAGGAAUCUGUUAUGUAAUUGAUAAUCCACGUUGAACCUUACUUAUAUAAAUUCUUGUAUACCGCUGUUUAAGAAUAUACUCUUAGGUAAAUUUUCAGAAUAUAAUAAUAAUUAAUAUUUCAAGUCAAGGUGCAGUUAUAUAUAAGUUGAAUAAUGGAUUACAAUAAAUUUUAUUUAUUAUGGAUUAUUACUGUAACAGUAAUUUGAAGGUGGAUUUAAUUGUAAUUUUAUAAAGAUUAUUAAAAUGAUUUUUAGCUCUAUAAUAUGU